rnacentral:tRNA from 2 species
CGGAAGUGGCGAAAUUGGUAGACGCACCAGAUUUAGGUUCUGGCGCCGCGAGGCGUAAGAGUUCAAGU